UGUCACGACCAUCUAUAGAAAUAAGAAUUGGAAACCGUGAGAUCUCCGUAUUUAAGCUUCUGCAAUCCAUGUAAGUACUCAAGAGAGAGAUUAUUGAAGAAAGCGUGGGGUCAUGAUUU
rnacentral:rRNA from 1 species